rnacentral:rRNA from 1 species
UAUCUGAACGUCGGCAGGCAUUCCGGAAUUCUCCUUUUUUGGCCCCGGGUGAACAUAGGCUCAAACAUGAUUGGAGGGGUCCUAGCUACGCCAUGCGUUCAAUAAAAAAAAAGCAAGCCUCUGGGAAGCUGCAGGGAUUACAAAAAGAGGGUGCUUUCCUGUGUUGCACUGAAAAAAGGACAAAGGAGAAGACGCUCUUCGACUUUCUUUCUUCCUCCCGCGCCCGCCUAA